GGGCUUGUGCUGUGAUGCUGGAUGGAGACCACACCUCAGAGGCUGUGCCUGUGUUUAUCUUCUCUCCUGGAUGCCAACGUGACAGUGAUAACCUCAGCUGCAGAUUAGAAGUGCUUUGUUUGUGAUUCUUGGGUGCUCUGCACUUGAUGCAUCAUCUCCCGACAGAUGCAGGGCAGACUCCGCUCCUCUCCUCUGGCCUGGGUUGCAGUGAUGGAUUAAGUAGGACAGAGAAGUAGGGAUCCUGGUGGAAGCAGUGCAUCUGAAAUGAACCUAUGGACAAGUUCACUUGUGUGUAGAAGAGAUUGCCAUUGAUGUGGAUUCUCCACCCAGGACCUCUGAACUGAGCAAUGACAAGCUGCCCUGUUCUGCCCCAUGAAGGUGUGGGACUUCUGGUUUCCUCUUCAGCUCUUCUCCUUCUUGCUGCUCUGGCUCUGUCCCCUGCCUGUCACUCCCUCCCUCACCCUGCUCUGAUGUCCAUGUGAUCCAACUGCCUGUACCUCAUGAAGGAGUUUCCUGGAGCAGGAA